CAGAAACUCAACUCAUAGUGCUCAUUCAGCUCAAAAAUUCUUAGAGGGCAAGGAUUAAUUCUUUUCACAAAUAUUUAUCAAGUGCUUAUUCUGGAUUAGACACCAUGUGAGGUGAAAAAUAGAGAUGGCUGCUGCCUGAAGAAGCCUUCCAUCUAAUGAGGGAGGAAGAGAAUAGCCAAGCAAGCAAACAAUUUUAGAUGGCGAUACCUUCCAAGGAAACAAGCAGGGUACAGCAGCAAUAGGAUAAGGAGGCAGAGGAGCAUAUAUUUACACAGGUGGUUUGGGAAGGCCUCUCUGAGUAGGUGACUUUUAAAUGGAAAUCUAAAGGCUGAAAAAGAGGCAGCCCUGAUAAGAGUCAGAAGACAAUUCUACUGAGCGAAUAGUUGUUUAAAAAACAAUCUGUAACUAGUCCAGUUUCACAUCUGGGGUAUUGAAUAAGAGCUUUUGGAUAAUGUCUUCCAAUCCUUACCUUCCUAUUGUUUCCAAGUUGAAAAGGGCUCCAUUUCUGUAGCCAAAGCCCCACAUUUUUUUGUUUGUUUAUUUUUUAAAGACAGAGUCUCACUCUGUCACCAGGCUGUAGUGCAGUCGUGUGAUCUUGGCUUACUGCAACCUCUGCCUCCCAGGCUCAAGCAAUCCUCCCACCUCAGCCUCCUGAGUAGCUGGGACUACAGACGUGUGCCACCAUACCCAGCUAAUUUUUGUGUUUUUUUGUAGUGACAGGGUUUCACCAUGUUGCCCAGGUUGGUCUCAUACUCUUGGGCUCAA
rnacentral:lncRNA from 10 species